GCGGGUAUAGCUCAAUGGUAGAGCCCUGGCCUUCCAAGCCAGAGGUGCGGGUUCGAUUCCCGCUACCCGCUCCC
rnacentral:tRNA from 1 species